CAGCAGCCGCGGUAAUACGAAGGGGGCUAGCGUUGCUCGGAAUUACUGGGCGUAAAGGGAGCGUAGGCGGAUCGUUUAGUCAGGGGUGAAAUCCCGGGGCUCAACCUCGGAACUGCCUUUGAUACUGGCGAUCUUGAGUAUGGGAGAGGUGUGUGGAACUCCGAGUGUAGAGGUGAAAUUCGUAGAUAUUCGGAAGAACACCGGUGGCGAAGGCGACACACUGGCCCAUUACUGGCGCUGAGGCUCGAAAGCGUGGGGAGCAAACAGGAUUAGAGACCCCUGUAGUCCCUGUCUCUUAUAC
rnacentral:rRNA from 1 species